AUGAAACAGAACUUUCUCUCGAUGAGCAAAGUUACCAAAGUUGCCAGCCACACAGGCCCCUCUGGAAAGUUUUGGUGGAGGGAAUGGGGGGCUGGAGGGGAGCUGGAUACCCUCCUGGGACAACCUUUGGCAUCUAGCCUUCCCCCAAGGGAAAGUCCGGGUUUGGGGGUUGGAGUGGGGACAAACUCCUGAGAGGAAUGAAGAACCACGUGGCUGGCAGGACCCUCGGGUAAGUUUUGGGGGAGGGAAUGGGGGGCUGGGAGGGAGGCGCUAUCCUGGCCUCCGAGCUUUUGAGAACCUGAAAAAGCAGGAUAGCUGUGGAGAGUGACCCCCUGAACUGCAGGAGCAGUCCUAGGAAGCAGUCUCCACAGGAUCCUCACCUUUAAAGAUCUGGACCUUAUUUUAAGGUCUGGAUCUUUAGAGGUGUUUUUUAAAUCUGGAUUAAACAGAGUAAAUUCUGUUUCCUCCAGGUUUAAACGGAUUAGGUUGAAAUGUCAUCUGGACACCUCAGGCUAAUCUGUUUUUUAGCCUGAGUUUUAGAGCUGUGUAGAAGGGCCCAAAGAUUACAAUUCCUCAAUUCUGGGGAAAAGACAAAAAAACCUUUUCAGGCCCAGAAAUUGGAGGGGGGGGGGUUGCUUGAUCAUGACCAUCUCAAGAAAUCAUUUGAACUGACCCUUGGAAUUUUUCAAAGACCCAUUACAUAACACAGUGGUAAAAGGGCUAAAAUAUGCUGAGCUCUGAGGCUGCAUUCAUUUUUGGCAUUAAUUUUCCAGAAAUAUUUGAGAGGAUGAUUGUACUGUCAUUCAAACUAGCUUUGCUAUUACACUAAUUCCAGCACAAGGAUGCAUUAGUCUUUCUCAUAAUCUUCAUGCUAUGUGUGUGAGCAUGAAAGCAAAUAGGAAAAUUUGUACGUUUUCUGUCUUCUUGUAGCUCAAAAUCUGAUGGCUCGUUUAUCUUAAAAAGUUUUUUUCCUGUUUAAGCAAAAUUUAAACCUGCACUUUGCUUGAAAAAUCUGUUUAAUAAUAUCUGUAUCCUUGUUAUUGGUUUGCUUGGUAGUUUUUAAUGUUAGCUGCCCUUCACUUAAUACAAUUAAUACAACAGUGUCCCUCCUUCAGCUGGAAUCAGGCACUUGCUUUUAGUAUUGGUCAAGUAUUGGGAUAAUUAUGAGUCAUACUUGCAAUGGAUUUUGAAACAUUAUUGCAAAAUUCUGUUUUGGGGAUUUGGAGCUAGGAUAGAGUAGCCAAGGUGCUCAAUGAGGUCCCCUGCACAUUUUAUUUAUUUACAUGACUUUUACCCCGCCUUUCUCCCUGAAGGGAACGGGGCUUACAAUAAAUAGGCAAAAAUUCAAUGCCUAAAAACUAUGUAAAAACAACAAUUCAUAUAAAAAAUCUACAAAACAACAAUUCAUAUAAAACAGAUAUCAUUACAAAAUAAAAUCGCAUUAUAUAAAAUUUUAAGCAUUUAAUUUUUAAACACUAUUUCAUAACCAAAAUAUUAUUUGAGAAAUAAGCUAAAAUAG
rnacentral:lncRNA from 1 species